rnacentral:rRNA from 1 species
GACGAACGCUGGCGGCGUGCCUAAUACAUGCCAGUUGAGCGCUGAAGGUUGGUACUUGUUCCGACUGGGUGAGCAGCGAACGGGUGAGUAACGCGUGGGGAACCUGCCUUUGAGCGGGGGACAACUUCUGGAAACGAAUGCUAAUACCGCAUAAAAACUUUAAACACAAGUUUUAAGUUUGAAAGAUGCAAUUGCAUCACUCAAAGAUUAUCCCGCGUUGGAUUAGCUAGUUUGUGAGGUAAAGGCCCACCAAAGCGAAGAUACAUAGCCGACCUGAGAGGGGGGACGGCCACAUUGGGACUGGGAAAACGCCCAAAAUCCCAAGGGAGGGAGCAGGAGGGAAACUUUGGCAAGUGACGGAAGGCUGGACGAGGAACGCCGGGGGGGGGGAGAAGGGUCUCGGAUCGGAAAAAUCGGUUGGUAGGGAAGAACGAAGGGGGGAGGGGAAAGCGCAUGAAGUGACGGUAACUACUCAGAAAGGGACGGCUAACUACGUG